AACGUAGGGGGCUAGCGUUGCCCGGAUUCACUGGGCGUAAAGCGGGUGUAGGCGGUUCUUUUAAGUCGGGAUGUGAAAUCCAGCGGCCCAACCGCUGAAUUGCAUCCGAUACUGGGGAACUUGAGGACGGUAGAGGUCGGUGGAAUAUCCGGUGUACCGGUGAAAUGGACAGAUAUCGGAUGGAACACCAGUGGCGAAGGCGGCCGACUGGGCCGAUCCUGACGCUGAGACCCGAAAGCUAGGGUAGCGAACCGG
rnacentral:rRNA from 1 species